GUGGACCUGAUUUACAGAUAGAAGGAUGCUUUUGAAUUCAUGUUAUUGUGUUUGACAGCUUCUAGCUUCCCUGGGCAUUAGUAAUAGAAAGCCAUUGACAAGAGACAUUCAACAGCAAAACAGUAAGCUGGCCAAUAAAGUAGACAUAAUUGCACUAAAUCUUUUUUUUUUUUUUUUUUUUUUUUUUUUCAGAUCAAGAAUCUUUCCUGAGGAUGGGCUUUCAGCUCCUGAAGAUGGUGAGCAGGAAUGUGCAUACUGUUUGUCACAGUCUUGGAAGAAGAAAAUGCAUGUCAAGCAAGAUAACUGACACAGAAUAAUGAGACCUCAGACUAGAAAAAACACAUUCUCCCCUUUCCUUCUGUUUCUCUCCUCUCCCUUCCUCCUUCUCGCAGCUGUCACUUAAACUAUUGAUUAUAAUAAGGUAUUAUGUUUCAUCACAUUUGACCAAACAUUCAAAUAAAGCAGAAUUGGUUGGACUUGGUACUUGGGGA
rnacentral:lncRNA from 1 species